rnacentral:rRNA from 1 species
AUGGGUAGGACAGGAUUUCAAGGAAAGCAACACCCAUUUGCCAGCAUGAAGGUUUCGGCGUUUUUCUCCGCCUUCUGUGGCGUCGGGCUCCUCCUAGCUCUCAAUGCUGCCAGCGUGGAGUGUGCUCGGCACACGUCGUACACGCCGCAAACCUUGUUCGUGUUCGGGGAUUCGUUCGCCGACACUGGGAACCUUCCGCCAACGAAGGGCAACUUUGAGAUGUCGCGCCAAUGGAAGGCUCCCUAUGGCAUGUCAAACAGAGUCGACGGAUCGGGUCGGCGGCAACAACAUGCAACCGGCCGCUUCUCCAACUUCAUGGUUCAAUCCGAUUUCAUCGCGAAGAUGCUGGGUCUUCCCCAGUCCCCUCCGACAUACCUUAGCACGCCAGAUCUCCACUGCGACCCGUCGGGCAUGAACUUUGCCUUUUAUGGCGCCGGCAUGUUCCGCUUUCCCGGAGAGAUGAUGAUGAUGAGCGUUAGCGAGCAGGUCGACGUAUUCGAGAGCAUGAUCAAAGCCGGAACUAUCUCGCAUAACCACGUAACUCACUCUGUCGCACUCCUCGCCGUCUCUGGCACCGACUACAACCGCUUCAACGUCAGCGGCUUCAGCUCCGCGACCGAUUGCGUCGAGAAAGAGACGACCGAGAUCGUUGCGAUCACCCAGCGGCUGCAAAACCUUGGAGUGAAGAAGAUUCUGGUGAACAAUCUGCAGCCUCUAGGCUGCACUCCAUUCUGGUGCAGGCCGACCCUCUACCACGAGUGCGACGAGUUUGGCAAUGUCAUUGCGCUCGUGCACAAUAAAAAGCUGAAACAUAAGCUGUCAAGGAACAAAGGUAUCUUCAUAGUCGAUAUGUACACCGCCUUCAACAACAUCAUCGCUGACCAUGGUUCGAAGUCGUACAAGCAGUUUGAGGCGGGGCGGAAGCCGUGCUGCGAGGGCUAUGGUCCUAGGGUCUACUGUGGAGAGCAGCAUCCUCACACGGACUAUCUUUUCUAUCUGUGCAAGGACCCAAGCAAACGUUUCUUCUGGGACGAUACUCAUCCCACACAUGCCGGCUGGGAGGCCGUUAUGAAGCAGCUUGAACCAUCAAAGAGUUCUUAG